rnacentral:rRNA from 1 species
UACGAAGGGGGCUAGCGUUGCUCGGAAUCACUGGGCGUAAAGGGUGCGUAGGCGGGUCUUUUAAGUCAGGGGUGAAAUCCUGGAGCUCAACUCCAGAACUGCCUUUGAUACUGAGGAUCUUGAGUACGGGAGAGGUGAGUGGAACUGCGAGUGUAGAGGUGAAAAUUCGUAGAUAUUCGCAAAGAACACCAGUGGCGAAGGCGCUCACUGGCCCGUAACUGACGCU